rnacentral:rRNA from 1 species
UACGUAGGUGUCGAGCGUUGUCCGGAUUUAUUGGGCGUAAAGAGCCCGCAGGCGGCUUGGCAAGUUUGAGGUGAAAUCUCCCGGCUUAACUGGGAGGGGGCCUCGAAAACUGCCAGGCUUGAGGCAUGGAGAGGGAUGCGGAAUUCCCGGUGUAGUGGUGAAAUGCGUAGAUAUCGGGAGGAACACCAGUGGCGAAGGCGAUCAUCUGGGGUUGUUCUGACACUGAGGAGCGAAAGCUAGGGGAGCAAACGGG